UGGACAUUGUAGACUGUGACUCCCUGACAAGUGAACACCUUUAGGUCUUCAAGAUGUUCUCCAGAGCUGUGAUGAUGAUGGUGUUGGUGGUGGCCGCUGUCCUGGUGGCGGCCCUGGCAGGUCCCGCGGCAGCCCCGGUUGGUCACCCGGGAUAUCUUGGCUACGGUGGAUAUGGUGGUUAUGGCGGAUAUGGUGGCUAUGGUGGCUUUAGACGUGGAUUUGGCGGAUAUGGUGGCUUUGGACGUGGAUUUGGCGGAUAUGGAUAUGGUCGCUGAGGCCAAGCUGGGCCAGAGUUAAACUUGUGACGGUCCUCGCAACUUCCACAUCAACCAUACAUAGUUUUUUUAUAAUAAAUAUAUAAA